CCCUUUUGAAUUUUUUUUUCUUUUUCAUUUCAGCAUAAGUAUCAGAUUUUCAUACAAGCAAAGGCUCACACACUUUUGGCACUCACAGAUGUGUAAUAUUGGAUCCUUUUCCGCAAUAAAUAAAUGACCAAGUGUAAUAUUUAUGUCUCAUUUGUUUAAUUAGGUUUGAUGAUUAAUGAUGUUUUAGGUCGUAUUCAUGCAGAAAUAUAGAAAAUUCACAAACUUUCAAGCACCACUGUAUGUCUAUGAUGGUCCGUGUCCACAUAGUUUUGGCCAUAUAGUGUAUUAGGCUCAUAGCACCAGUGGAAAAUGACAAAAUCGAGCUUUAGACAGCAGAAUGACGGGCAUUUCCGAGCUGAAAAGGCAGAGCUUUAAGUUAUAUUUGAUCAGCCAAUCACAAGUUUGACUAACGUCCGCAUCAUCUGCGUCUGUAUUAUAUUACUCUAUUUGUAUUUGUCUUAUUUUGGAUUAUAUCUGUUACGUUUCUUCGGGGUUUUUUUUACAAUUAGUAUGUAUUUAAUUAAGUAUGUAAUUAGUAUGUAUUUUCCUUCUGUAUGGGUCGUGGUUACUUUGUGAAGAAUCUAAUCAGGCUGUCUCAAUAGUUUGUUGAUGGGGGAGGUCACGACGGGCCCCUCCAAAAAUAGUAAUUAUUCAAUUAAACUUAAAAUUAAUAAUACAUUUAAAAACGCAAGACUAAAUGAUAGAUAGAUAGAUAGAUAGAUAGAUAGACAGACAGAUAGAUAGAUAGAUAGAUAGAUAGACAUAUAGAUAGAUAGAUAGAUAGAUAGAUAGAUAGACAGACAGAUAGAUAGAUAGAUAGAUAGAUAGAUAGAUAGAUAGAUAGAUAGAUAAACAGACAGAUAGAUAGAUAGAUAGAUAGAUAGACAGACAGACAGAUAGAUAGAUAGACAGUUAGAUAGAUAGAUAGAUAGAUAGAUAGAUAGAUAGAUAGAUAGAUAGAGAGACAUAUAGAUAUAUAUAUAGAUAGAUAGAGAGACAUAUAGAUAUAUAUAUAUAGAUAGAUAAUAGAUAGAUGUAACUUCCCAUAGUUACUACUAUAAUAGUAUUAGGAGAACAUUAGAACAUUAGGAGACUAAUGCUAGGGAACUGUUUUCCUGUGUAUAUAAACCAGUAUUUUCACACAGAGAAGUGAGUCACGUCAGUGAUUGGAUGAUCGAACUGAAGCUCUGCCCUUACUGAAACAGG
ensembl:lncRNA